rnacentral:rRNA from 1 species
CAAUAGCGUAUAUUAACGUUGUUGUAGUUAAAAAGCUCGUAGUUGGAUUUCUGGAGGGAGCGUCGGCCCGUAUUUACGAGUGCGUGACGUCUCUGUCCAUCCUUGCGGGAAGGCACGGCAUUGAUUUGUUGUGUCGGAUCGCAUCAUUUACUGUGAAAAAAUUAGAGUGUUCAAAGCAGGCUUAUGCCGUUGAAUAUAUUAGCAUGGAAUAAUGAGAUAGGACCUUGGUACUAUUUUGUUGGUUUGCGCACCGAGGUAAUGAUUAAUAGGGACAGUUGUGGGUAUUCGUAUUCCAUUGUCAGAGGUGAAAUUCUUGGAUUUCUGGAAGACGAACUAAUGCGAAAGCAUUUACCAAGGAUGUUUUCAUUAA